rnacentral:rRNA from 1 species
UACGUAGGGGGCGAGCGUUGUCCGGAAUCAUUGGGCGUAAAGAGCGUGUAGGCGGCUUGGCAAGUCUGACGUGAAAGCCCGCGGCUCAACCGCGGAUUGUCGUUGGAAACUGCCUCGCUAGAGUCCGGAAGAGGAGAGUGGAAUUCCUGGUGUAGCGGUGAAAUGCGCAGAUAUCAGGAAGAACACCCGUGGCGAAGGCGGCUCUCUGGGACGGUACUGACGCUGAGACGCGAAAGCGUGGGGAGCGAACAGG